ACACACCUACCCUUGCGUACACUCACACCCUUGCUAAGUUUAAACAUGUAGGUGAAUAAGCUCUUUCGUAAGUUAGUUUUAGUGCCCCCUCUUCUGUAGUUUACCAUUUUGUUGUAUUUCUCCUCCUUUUAUACCAUACACACCUACCCUUGCGUACAGUCACACCCUUGCUAAGUUUUAAUAUGUAGGUGAAUAAGCUCUUUCAUAAGUUAGUUUUAGUGCCCCCUCUUCUGAAGUUAUCAUUUUGUUGUAUUUCUCCUCUUUUUAUACCAUACACACCUACCCUUGCGUACAGUCACACCCUUGCUAAGUUUUAAUAUGUAGGUGGAUAAGCUCUUUUGUAAGUUAGUUUUAGUUCCCCCUCUACUGUAGUUUACCAUUUUGUUGUAUUUCUCCUCUUCAUACCAUACACACCUACCCUUGCGUACAGUCACACCCUUGCUAAGUUUUAAUAUGUAGGUGAAUAAGCUCUUUCGUAAGUUGAUUUUAGUGCCCCCUCUUCUCUCCUCUUUUUAUACCAUACACACCUACCCUUACGUACACUCACACCCUUGCCAGACUUAAAUACGUAAACAGAUAUUAUAGGAAGUUAUGUUAGCUUUCAGUUGUGUCUCCUUUCUCUAUUCCGUUUUCUGUCCUCAACUCUCCCGCACUUAAUCCUUUCCACCCAAACCCCACACACAAACCUUGGUCCAUUUUCUUAAACGUGUUGGUCUCCCAUUACGACUGUUUCCCAAGGCCACAGAGAAGGUUAACCCAGUUUUUAUGGUUUCUUUUUUAUCUGUUCAAGGUGCAGUUUAAAACUAUCACUGCAACUUUUAAGAGAUGCUUUUCAAACGGGAACUGAGGCACCGAUGGGUUUAAAAAUAUGGACAAUAACUUAACCUAACCUAACCUUUCCACACCAUCUACACACACAUUAGUUCAGUUAGCACUCAGUAUCUCACCUCUCCUAUUCUGCCCCUCAACACACACACACACCUAACCUAACCUAACUAACCUAAUCUUUUCAACCCUUCUAGUACACACAUAAGUUAGUUCUCAGUAUCUCACCUCUCCUAUUCUGCCCCUCAACACACACACACA